UAAUGUCUGGGAAACUGCCUGAUGGAGGGGGAUAACUACUGGAAACGGUAGCUAAUACCGCACAACGUCCAAGACCAAAGAGGGGGACAUUCCGGCCUCUUUAAUAAGAUUU
rnacentral:rRNA from 1 species